UACGUAGGGGGCUAGCGUUGUCCGGAAUCAUUGGGCGUAAAGCGCGUGUAGGCGGUUCGGUAAGUCCGCUGUGAAAGUCGGGGGGCUCGACCCUCGGAUGCCGGUGGAUACUGUCGGGCUUGAGUACGGAAGAGGCGAGUGGAAUUCCUGUGUAGCGGUGAAAUGCGCAGAUAUCAGGAGGAACACCAAUUGCGAAGGCAGCUCGCUGGGACGUUACUGACGCUGAGACGCGAAAGCGUGGGGAGCAAACAGG
rnacentral:rRNA from 1 species